UUCUUCAAUGCCGCCUCUGCUGCCUUGAUGAGCUUACCCGCAACAUCACCUGCACCAGGAAUAAACCCUAUCGUCGCCAUCAGGUAAUCCAGCGCACUCUGGGCUUCUGAAACGCUCUUGAUAUCCCCGA
rnacentral:rRNA from 1 species